AUUGAACGCUGGCGGCAGGCUUAACACAUGCAAGUCGAGCGGAAACGAUACCAGCUUGCUGGUAGGCGUCGAGCGGCGGACGGGUGAGUAACACUUAGGAAUCUACCUAGUAGUGGGGGAUAGCUCGGGGAAACUCGAAUUAAUACCGCAUACGACCUACGGGAGAAAGGGGGCAGUUUACUGCUCUCGCUAUUAGAUGAGCCUAAGUCGGAUUAGCUAGAUGGUGGGGUAAAGGCCUACCAUGGCGACGAUCUGUAGCUGGUCUGAGAGGAUGAUCAGCCACACCGGGACUGAGACACGGCCCGGACUCCUACGGGAGGCAGCAGUGGGGAAUAUUGGACAAUGGGGGCAACCCUGAUCCAGCCAUGCCGCGUGUGUGAAGAAGGCCUUUUGGUUGUAAAGCACUUUAAGCAGUGAAGAAGACCAUAUGGUUAAUACCCAUAUGCGAUGACAUUAGCUGCAGAAUAAGCACCGGCUAACUCUGUGCCAGCAGCCGCGGUAAUACAGAGGGUGCAAGCGUUAAUCGGAAUUACUGGGCGUAAAGCGAGCGUAGGUGGCUUGAUAAGUCAGAUGUGAAAUCCCCGGGCUUAACCUGGGAACCGCAUCUGAUACUGUUAAGCUAGAGUAGGUGAGAGGGAAGUAGAAUUCCAGGUGUAGCGGUGAAAUGCGUAGAGAUCUGGAGGAAUACCGAUGGCGAAGGCAGCUUCCUGGCAUCAUACUGACGCUGAGGCUCGAAAGCGUGGGUAGCAAACAGG
rnacentral:rRNA from 1 species